AGCCAGUUGGCGGGGUAACGGCCCACCAAAGCGACGAUCGGUAGCCGGACUGAGAGGUUGAACGGCCACAUUGGGACUGAGACACGGCCCAGACUCCUACGGGAGGCAGCAGUGGGGAUAUUGCACAAUGGGGGAAACCCUGAUGCAGCAACGCCGCGUGAAGGAAGAAGGUCUUCGGAUUGUAAACUUCUGUCCUCAGGGAAGAUAAUGACGGUACCUGAGGAGGAAGCUCCGGCUAACUACGUGCCAGCAGCCGCGGUAAUACGUAGGGAGCGAGCGUUGUCCGGAUUUACUGGGUGUAAAGGGUGCGUAGGCGGAUAGGCAAGUCAGUGGUGAAAUCUAUGGGCUUAACCCAUAAACUGCCAUUGAAACUGUUUAUCUUGAGUGGAGUAGAGGCAGGCGGAAUUCCCGGUGUAGCGGUGAAAUGCGUAGAGAUCGGGAGGAACACCAGUGGCGAAGGCGGCCUGCUGGGCUUUAACUGACGCUGAGGCACGAAAGUGUGGGUAGCAAACAGGAUUAGAUACCCUGGUAGUCCACACCGUAAACGAUGAUUACUAGGUGUGGGGGGUCUGACCCCCUCCGUGCCGGAGUUAACACAAUAAGUAAUCCACCUGGGGAGUACGACCGCAAGGUUGAAACUCAAAGGAAUUGACGGGGGCCCGCACAAGCAGUGGAGUAUGUGGUUUAAUUCGAACCACGCGAAGAACCUUACCAGGUCUUGACAUCCAUAUAAUUUUCUAGAGAUAGAGAAGUGCCCUUCGGGGAAAUAUGAGACAGGUGGUGCAUGGUUGUCGUCAGCUCGUGUCGUGAGAUGUUGGGUUAAGUCCCGCAACGAGCGCAACCCUUGUCAUUAGUUGCUACGCAAGAGCACUCUAAUGAGACUGCCGUUGACAAAACGGAGGAAGGUGGGGACGACGUCAAAUCAUCAUGCCCCUUAUGACCUGGGCUACACACGUACUACAAUGGCCGUCAACAGAGAGAAGCAAAGCCGCGAGGCGGAGCAAAACUCCAAAAACGGUCCCAGUUCGGAUCGCAGGCUGCAACCCGCCUGCGUGAAGUCGGAAUUGCUAGUAAUCGCGGAUCAGCAUGCCGCGGUGAAUACGUUCCCGGGCCUUGUACACACCGCCCGUCACACCAUGGGAGCCGGUAAUACCCGAAGUCAGUAGUCUAACCGCAAGGGGGGCGCUGCUGAAGGUAGGAUUGGCGACUGGGGUGAAGUCGUAACAAGGUAGCCGUAUCGGAAGGUGCGGCUG
rnacentral:rRNA from 1 species